rnacentral:rRNA from 1 species
UACGUAGGGUGCAAGCGUUAAUCGGAAUUACUGGGCGUAAAGCGUGCGCAGGCGGCUUUGCAAGACAGAUGUGAAAUCCCCGGGCUUAACCUGGGAACUGCAUUUGUGACUGCAAGGCUAGAGUACGGUAGGAGGGGGAUGGGAAUUCCGCGUGUAGCAGUGAAAUGCGUAGAUAUGCGGAGGAACACCGAUGGCGAAGGCAAUCCCCCUGGACCUGUACUGACGCUCAUGCACGAAAGCGUGGGGAGCGAACAGG